rnacentral:lncRNA from 1 species
UCACACACAUAUAUAACUAUUGGAAAAACGAUUUUAAUACCCAUGGCACAUUGUCCUUGUGUGAUAUAAAAUCCAAUGACAUGUGGCAUUUGGAAAAGGUCACUUCUCCCAUCAGGAUUCAUUAGCCUGUUUCAGCCUCUACGCCGGCAGGACAGGUCCCAGCUGCUUGUCCCCUGCAGUGAGGCCAGUUGGACAGGUGGAGCCUACAGGGACCCUCCCUGGAGAGCAAAGGGCCUCCCCAGGGUGCCGGCCAGGGAAUCCCUGCUUUGGCCAAGCUCUUUCCCACACAUGCCUGGGGAGUAGGGAAGGGUUGUCAUCUCUUACUCAGCAGAUAUUUAGUGGGAUCCUAGGGGCUGGUGACACAAGAGUGAGCAAAACAGAACAAAGCAGAGACCACGAGAAGUUAAAUAUAGCACAGUGACCAUAAGCACAGCCUCCACCUAGGUUCAUACCUUGGCUCUGCUGUGUGACCUUGGGCAAGUUCCUUAACCUCUCUCUUUUUCUCAUCUCUAAAAUGGGAUAAUCAUAGCACCGUUGGGAAGAUUGUUGUGAGAUUGUCUGACCUUUAGGUCAGAGCAUGGUGCAUUCACUCUCUGUUGUCAUCAGGCUGCCUCCCUGUUCUUCCUGCCUCCCACCUCCACCCCCAUUGCCCUGUGCUAUUUGGGCUUUGCAUAGGGUAGUUACCUGGAAAACAUUUGUUUAAUGUAAUAAUCCAAAUGGACAUGUCCUUUGGGCAGUUGACAAUUCGGUGUGGGCAUUCAGGAGAGACAUCAAAUUGGAGGCAGGUUUGGGAGUCCUGGAAAGUUGACGUUCAAGAGGGUAAAAAGAUAAAUUCUCUAAGAGCAAAGGGCACAGCAGUGACAAGGUCCCCGGAUCAGGUCAGUGGAAGAGGCAUGAGGGACAAGGUAAGGAUAGAGGGUGGUGUGGAAAGGAGGACAGGAGCGCUGAGGAAGAGCCCCAGAUGCCUGAGGAGGGGGUCACAGCUCCAGGGACCCAGGGAGCUGCUGCGGAUGACACCAGGACAGCGAUAAGAGCUCCAUCCCAGACGGUGGGGAAGGAAAUGAGGCGACAGGCACAGGUCCUUGUUCCAGGAGGCAGACUAGAAGACAGAAGAAAGGAAGGAGAUAGAGGAAGCGGCAAGGUCCAGGGAAGGGUUGGCCCUUUUAGGAGACAGUUACACACAACGUAGAAGACAGAGGAGAAAGGACCGCUCUCGUGGCAAAAAUGCAAGAGCGAGAGGAAUAUCGCAAGGGCAAGGUCCCUGCUGA